AGACGUCUUCAUUAGAUACCCGUGUAGUCCCAGCCGUAAACUAUGCUCGCUAGGUGUCAGGCAUGGCGCGACCGUGUCUGGUGCCGCAGGGAAGCCGUGAAGCGAGCCACCUGGGAAGUACGGCCGCAAGGCUGAAACUUAAAGGAAUUGGCGGGGGAGCACAACAACGGGUGGAGCCUGCGGUUUAAUUGGACUCAACGCCGGACAACUCACCGGGGACGACAGCAAUAUGUAGGCCAGGCUGAAGACCUUGCCUGAAUCGCUG
rnacentral:rRNA from 1 species